UACGAAGGGGGCUAGCGUUGCUCGGAAUCACUGGGCGUAAAGGGUGCGUAGGCGGGUCUUUAAGUCAGGGGUGAAAUCCUGGAGCUCAACUCCAGAACUGCCUUUGAUACUGAAGAUCUUGAGUUCGGGAGAGGUGAGUGGAACUGCGAGUGUAGAGGUGAAAUUCGUAGAUAUUCGCAAGAACACCAGUGGCGAAGGCGGCUCACUGGCCCGGACUAGUGACGCU
rnacentral:rRNA from 1 species